UAACCUGCCCAAGAGAUCGGGAUAACACCUGGAAACAGAUGCUAAUACCGGAUAACAACAGAUGAUGCCUAUCAACUGUUUAAAAGAUGGUUCUGCUAUCACUCUUGGAUGGACCUGCGGUGCAUUAGCUAGUUGGUAGGGUAACGGCCUACCAAGGCGAUGAUGCAUAGCCGAGUUGAGAGACUGAUCGGCCACAUUGGGACUGAGACACGGGCCCAAACUCCUACGGGAGGCAGCAGGC
rnacentral:rRNA from 1 species